rnacentral:misc_RNA from 1 species
AACGCACGAGACCUGCGGACCUGCGGAAGGAUCACUACCGAGUUUACAACUCCCAAACCCAAUGUGAACGUUACCAAACUGUUGCCUCGGCGGGAUCUCUGCCCCGGGUGCGUCGCAGCCCCGGACCAAGGCGCCCGCCGGAGGACCAACCAAAACUCUUUUGUAUACCCCCUCGCGGGUUUUUAUAUCUGAGCCAUCUCGGCGCCUCUCGUAGGCGUUUCGAAAAUGAAUCAAAACUUU